CCUACGGGUGGCAGCAGUGAGGAAUAUUGGUCAAUGGGCGCGAGCCUGAACCAGCCAAGUAGCGUGAAGGAUGACUGCCCUACGGUUUGUAAACUUCUUUUAUAAAGGAAUAAAGUGAGGCACGUGUGCAUUUUUGUAUGUCCUUUAUGAAUCAGGCUCGGCUAGCUCCGUGCAAGCAGCCGCGGUAAUACGGAGGAUCCGAGCGUUAUCCGGAGUUAUUGGGUUUAAUGGGAGCGUAGAUGGGAUGUUAAGUCAGAUGUGAAAGCUUGCGGCUCAACCGUAAGAUUGCAAUGGAUACUGGGAGCCUUGAGUACAGUUGAGGUAGGCGGAAUUCGUGGUGUAGCGGUGAAAUGCGUAGAUAUCACGAAGAACUCCGAUUGCGAAGGCAGCUUACUAAACUGCAACUGACAUUGAUGCUCGAAAGUGUGGGUAUCAAACAGGAUUAGAUACCCGUGUAGUC
rnacentral:rRNA from 1 species